GACGGCCAUAUCACGUUGAAACAUUUGUUGUCGCACGAUCACUGAAGUUAAGCAACGUCGAGUUUGGUCAGUACCUAAAUGGGUGAACGCUUGGGAAUACCAGGUGCUGCAAGC